AUUUAACGCUGGCGGCAGGCCUAACACAUGCAAGUCGAGCGGAUGAAGGGAGCUUGCUCCUGGAUUCAGCGGCGGACGGGUGAGUAAUGCCUAGGAAUCUGCCUGGUAGUGGGGGAUAACGUCCGGAAACGGGCGCUAAUACCGCAUACGGCCUGAGGGAGAAAGUGGGGGAUCUUCGGACCUCACGCUAUCAGAUGAGCCUAGGUCGGAUUAGCUAGUUGGUGGGGUAAAGGCCUACCAAGGCGACGAUCCGUAACUGGUCUGAGAGGAUGAUCAGUCACACUGGAACUGAGACACGGUCCAGACUCCUACGGGAGGCAGCAGUGGGGAAUAUUGGACAAUGGGCGAAAGCCUGAUCCAGCCAUGCCGCGUGUGUGAAGAAGGUCUUCGGAUUGUAAAGCACUUUAAGUUGGGAGGAAGGGCAGUAAGUUAAUACCUUGCUGUUUUGACGUUACCAACAGAAUAAGCACCGGCUAACUUCGUG
rnacentral:rRNA from 1 species